AUUGAACGCUGGCGGCAGGCCUAACACAUGCAAGUCGAGCGAGCGGCGGACGGGUGAGUAAUGUAUGGGGAUCUGCCCGAUAGAGGGGGAUAACUACUGGAAACGGUAGCUAAUACCGCAUACUAUCGGAUGUACCCAGAUGGGAUUAGCUAGUAGGUGGGGUAAAGGCUCACCUAGGCGACGAUCUCUAGCUGGUCUGAGAGGAUGAUCAGCCACACUGGGACUGAGACAAGGCCCAGACGCCGACGGGAGGCAGCAGUGGGGAAUAUUGCACAAUGGGCGCAAGCCUGAUGCAGCCAUGCCGCGUGUAUGAAGAAGGCCUUAGGGUUGUAAAGUACUUUCAGCGGGGAGGCGUUACCCGCAGAAGAAGCACCGGCUAACUCCGUGCCAGCAGCCGCGGUAAGAC
rnacentral:rRNA from 1 species